AGGUUACUGCUAUCGGUGUUCGCCUAAGCCAUGCGAGUCAUAUGUUCGUAAGAACAUGGCGUACUGCUCAGUAACACGUGGAUAACCUGCCCUUGGGUCCGGCAUAACCCCGGGAAACUGGGGAUAAUUCCGGAUAACGCACAUAUGCUGGAAUGCUUUAUGCGUAAAAUGGAUUCGUCUGCCCAAGGAUGGGUCUGCGGCCUAUCAGGUAGUAGUGGGUGUAACGUACCUACUAGCCUACGACGGGUACGGGUUGUGAGAGCAAGAGCCCGGAGAUGGAUUCUGAGACAUGAAUCCAGGCCCUACGGGGCGCAGCAGGCGCGAAAACUUUACAAUGCGGGAAACCGUGAUAAGGGGACACCGAGUGCCAGCAUCCUAUGCUGGCUGUCCGGGUGUGUAAAAUACACCUGUUAGCAAGGGCCGGGCAAGACCGGUGCCAGCCGCCGCGGUAACACCGGCGGCCCGAGUGGUGAUCGUGAUUAUUGGGUCUAAAGGGUCCGUAGCCGGUUUGGUCAGUCCUCCGGGAAAUCUGACAGCUUAACUGUUAGGCUUUCGGAGGAUACUGCCAGACUUGGAACCGGGAGAGGUAAGAGGUACUACAGGGGUAGGAGUGAAAUCUUGUAAUCCCUGUGGGACCACCUGUGGCGAAGGCGUCUUACCAGAACGGGUUCGACGGUGAGGGACGAAAGCUGGGGGCACGAACCGGAUUAGAUACCCGGGUAGUCCCAGCCGUAAACGAUGCUCGCUAGGUGUCAGGCAUGGCGCGACCGUGUCUGGUGCCGCAGGGAAGCCGUGAAGCGAGCCACCUGGGAAGUACGGCCGCAAGGCUGAAACUUAA
rnacentral:rRNA from 1 species